rnacentral:lncRNA from 1 species
CGUCCUGCAAGAAAGAAAAGGUAAGAACGUCAGCGAUGGCUCCACUGACUGAUUAAGGCAAAGAAAGUCGCCACU